CACUCAUCCAUUAAAUACCUGUGUAGUAAAUAUCACUUGUAUUAGAAUACUAGGUCCACUUCUCUUGUGUCUCUCUUUCAUGGAAUCACCAAAUUCUUUCAACUCAAGUCUUCCUCCUCACAACCAAACUAUUGUAGAAAAAUCAGAGAGGGAGAAGAAAAUUGAAGAAUGGCUUCCAAUUAAUGCAGAUAGGAGUGCGAAAUGGUGGUACUCAGCUUUUCACAAUGUUACUGCUAUGGUUGGAGCUGGUGUUCUUGGUCUUCCAUAUGCCAUGUCACAACUUGGAUGGUAUAUUAUUUUUUCAAAACCAGAUUACAUUUUUUUUAAUUGUAUGGUUUUUAUGCUUUCAAAUAUAAUAAUUUUUUAAUAAAGGCUCGUAUAUUGGAAAAGAAGAAAAAGAUUACAAUUAUAAAAAAGAGGGGAACAAGGUUAGCCUCAUCAAAAAGUAGUGAAUCUAAAGAAAGGCAAUUCUGACAUAUUUUUUAUAAAAUCAUUCUUUAUCUCAAGAGGGAUAAAAUAAAAAAUAUUAUGGAAUUAAAAGUAAGAUCUAUAUUAGCAAAAAAGUUAGCACUGUUAUUUCCUUCUCUAUAUAUGUGUGUGAUGAUGAUAUUAGAUUGAUCAGUUGGAUCCAUGCAAGUUUUCCACCGUUUUCUUAGACUCCAAGGCACUAAGGAAGGGAUGGAAAAAUUUUAAGCCACCAAUAGAUAUCAUGUUUCAAUCUAAAGUGUGAGCCAACCUUUGCUCUUAGUUAUUUCAAUAGCUUUCAUAACCGCACCGAAAGAAAAUCCCCAUUUAAAUUCUUAAAUAUCCCUGAACAACUAGCGGAAAUAGAUAAUGGUUUUGGGUUUACUUCUAACCAAACAGCGAACAAUGGAUUGAAGCGGUUAGUCUUCAUGCAAGAACCUAACAAAGCUUUGAGCAGUAAAUCUCUAAGACAAACCUAGAUUUUGUAUGGACUUAUAUCGAACCUAGGUGUAGUUUUAAGUUGGAUAUCCUCCGAACCGAACCAAUAUUUAAUAUCAGGCUGACCACAAACUAAAUCGAGAUUUUACACCAGGAUGCUCUCAAACCAACUGAGCUUUUACAAUGGGCAAAGAUCACGAACCAAUAAUAAUAUUUUCAAUGGUUAUCUUCAAGAACCCAGAAAGAGAGAUUUUUCUUAAUUGGUGGAACUCACGAACCAAAUGGAAACUUAACAUUAAUCCCUGAAAAGAGCUUUUAGUGAGUUUAGCUCUAAACCCAAACAAAAAUUUCCUAAGGUAGAAAUAUUCACUCAAGAGGAAAAAGAACUAUUGGUGAAUUUACAAUAUUACUCUUUCCAGAACAACUUCCUCACUAAAACACAAGAACCUUUCUAAAAGCACUAUGAGCAAAUUUAUGUGAGAGAACGAAGAAAUACUUUAAGAGAGAUAAUGAGAUAGAGGAAUAUUCUAAUCAUUCUGACAGUUUCCAACUCAUCUUACUAGGCUUAAAAACAAUUUUAGGUGAUUUUAUUAAAGAAAUGGAGACUUCAAAAUGACUUUACUUUACGAAAAAUGCCUUUUUGUUUUUAUGAAACACUAUUCACUCAAACACAAACAAAUGAGCUUUCUCAUUUCCAUAAUCUGAAGCUUCGGGUCUAUUGCUAGAUAAGCUAAUCACAUAAGCAUUUCACUUAAGUCUUCACGGAGAUGACGCUUAAUAUAUAUUUAAAUCAGAAGCCAUCAUCAGAGGAUAUCAGAGUGAAUAUUAAAUCCCAACUCUUCAGAUAUCUUGAUCAACUAUGUUUUUUUACUUUGAUUGCUUGAAAUAGCUUUAGCCCAUGCUUGUUUUUAUGUGGUGUUGUUAUCAAGGUCUUGUUAUAUACUUUUAUUAUUUUUCAUGUUACAUAUUCAUGAGUUGUCAUCAUCAAAACCAUGAUGUUGACAUGUCUAGGCAUAUCUUACUUAGCUUUGAUUGCUUCUUAAUUAAACCUACAAGCACAUAGAUCUGCACUUCUUGGAUAGAUAAAGAUCGAGGAGAAUGAAGGUUGGAAUAAAAAGCCUUAAUAAGUGAGAAAUCUUCCAUAGAAGGUGAAGUUGUUGAUGAUGAACUUUUACCAAGAAGCUUUGCAUGUGAUGAGAUCCUUUUGAUUACAAGUUUAAGAUUUGGGAGAUGGUUUAUGUGCCUGAGGUUGUUUCUAGAUUCCCAAAUUUGGUUGAUGAAAAUAUGAAUGAAUAUUUCAUCACCAAAGUAUCCUAUUUAGACCUACCAAUUAUGAAGUGUUGGAGCCAAUCUUCCAAUGUUGAUGGAAGGUUGAUUGUUCUGGUUUUCUUGCUAAGCCAAAUCCAAAGAUGUUUUGCAAAAUUGUAGUAGAAAAAGAUGUGAUAUGUGCUCUUCAUUUUAGAGUUGCAGAGGAAAUAUUUGAAGACCAUAGUGAUUCAUCUUCUCAUUAAUUUAUCAUCAAUUGGGUUCUUAUAAUUCAUAAGCCUCCAAACUAACAUUAACUUGGAUGGAGGUAUCGGAAUAAUCAAAAUAUUUUUGUCCUAAUCUAAUUUCUUUGAAAGUAUAUGAAUUCUUUAAGUUGAGCAGACCAAAAAUAGAGUUGUUCCAUACCAUAUAGUCUAUAUUAGCCUUAGUAAAACUUGGAGCUUGAGGUAGCUUGUGGGUCAAUAAAGGGAACAAAUUAUUCCAUUUUGUAGACAACGACAACUGACCUUCCUGAACAUAGUCUGAUACAUAUGAUUUAGGCUUAAAUGCACCUUUGGUCCCUGUAAGUUAGCGAGUUUUUAAUUUUCGCCCCUGUAAGUUUUUUUGUUGGUAUGAGUCCCUAUAUCUUACUUUUUGGUUGCGGUUUAGUCCCUAAAGCCAAAAUCCGCAGGAAAAUCUGCAUGUUUUCCUGCGAAUUUUCCUGCAGAUUUUGAUUUUAGGGACUAAAACAAACGCGAAAGUGAAAUAUAGGGACUCAGAACCAGAAAAAAAAAACUUAUAGGGACGAAAAUAAAAAACUCGCUAACUUACCGGGACCAAAGGUGCAUUUAAGCCUAUGAUUUAUCAUUCAUUCCAUGUGAUUGAAUAAAUUCCAAAGAAGUAUCCAGGAGGAGAAGAGGGACACACCAUGAGUAUUUUCAAAACUUGAUGGAUGUUCAUGUGACAAGAGACCAAGGUGUGUGCCUAUUUAGGGUCAUAAAUUCAGGUUUGAUGUUGAUCAUAAGGAUGAGAAGAUGCGGUACCUGAUAAUCUCACGAGGUCUCAACACUCUAUUCUUGAGAAAAAUGGCUAAAGAAUAAUUGUUGUUCAUCAUUUCCUAGCAAAGCUUUAGGUUUGUGGAUUCAUUUAAUUUGAUUAAAGACCUUGCACCUAGACCUCCAUAUGCAAAGGGUUGGCAUUUUUUCCCACGCCAUCUAACAAUAUUCCUAGCAUUACUGUCUCCACUCCAUAUAAAGUCUCUAUAGGCCUUUUAUAUUCUCUUUAGAAAGGCAAUAGGCCAAGAAUAAAUAUCAAGUCGACCCUCAAUGAAUAAUCUAGAGAUGCUCAUGUUGAGGACAUCUUCAGCUGGGCAAAAGUGGGCGGGGACAAUGAAUCUCCUUGUUUGACCCAUCUAGAACAUUUGAAAAUACAUAUUGAUCUCCAUUAAUGCCAAUAGAUAGAUUAGUUCAUGAAAUAAUUUUAUGAAUCCAUUGAUAAGAGAUUGGAAAGAAUCCAAAUUUUUUGAGGACAUGCAUAAGGAAAUUCCAACAUGUGGUGUCAAAGGCUUUUGAGAUGUCUACUUUAAGGGCAAGGUUACCACUGUAGUUUUUGUUGUCUAUUACAUUGAUUGCCUUAGAUUCCAGACAAGUACAAUCCUUGAUGUUUCUUCCUUUAAUAAAACUUUUUUUCUCAUUAUAUAUGAGAAUAUGCAUGAGAGAGUCCAACCUAUCUACUACAAAUUUAGAAAGGAUUUUGAACUUGAAAUUUUCCAAAGCAAUUGGUCAGAACUUAUCCAUUGUGUGAGAAUAUUUGGUUUUAGGAAGGAUGAUUGUGUUGGAUUUUUAUUGGGAAGGAUACAACCAAUUUUGAAGAAUUGAGUGACUGCUUUACAAACAUCAUCUUUAAUAAUUUCCCAAUAAGAAUGGUAGGAAACUCCACCAAAUCCAUGUGGGCUAGGGGAACUAAUUUUUUAAGGCUAAAGACUGCAUUAUACAUCUACUCUUUGGAUGAAAGCAUGGUAAGAAAAUGAUUCAUGUUGGAAUCCUCCAGAUCUGAGAUGACCUCAAUGUGGUGUCGUUUUCUUUUACCUCCCCGUUUCACUUGGGAGGACGGCACGCUAGACCCUUCACGCGAAAUUUGGAAGGAGAAUGCGCCCGUGGUGGGAUGAAUUUUAUUUCAGUUCUUCCUACGAUAACACACGAACUUUCUUAUUUGUCCUACGAGUAGGAAAGGGGAAAAAAGAUCUCAACUAAACCCUAGGAGUUUGCUAAGUGUGGGGAUUUACACCUAGACUAGAAAUUCUGGAGUCCGGGAGGUCGGUUAUACAUAGGGAAGUGUUUAAACACCCUACAUAUCUGUAGUACUCUACAGGAACCUUCUCUGUGUCAUUGUGUUUGUGUUUAUUGCUAAUGAUUGGGAAAGUUUCUCCUUUGUGUUAGGAGAAGGAAUUGAAUUGAUUGAAGAAAGACAGACAGAUAGACAGACUGACUAUUUUUGGUAUUUUAUUAGCUCGCUGAGAUUCCUUGUGAACCUCAUGCCUACAUAUCCCUAGUGGAAGUCAGAGCUUAAUGUAGUUCGGGGAACUAACUAGGGAAAUUAAUUGUUUUUGGUGCCUUGCUUGAAGCUCAAGGUUGAAGCUUGGAAUUAAAUCUCUGUUUACAGUAAAGAGACAUGAAAUUAUCUCUACAGAGAGGUAUUUGUACUAUUCUACCACAAACAUUUAAAGGAGUGACAGAAUAACUGGAUUCAUUUCAUUCAAGAGGGGGACCUUACUUGGGUGUACAAGUAUGCCAGUCAGAUGCCUCUUAAAUGAAAGAAAAAUGCUCGUCCAAAUUAGGGAAAGUGUACAAGUCUGGGGAUGUGCCAGAGCAUGUCUUUCAGAGUCCUAAAUGGGAGACUUUGAUUGAAAUUGAAUUUGAAAUGUUUGUUUGUUUGAAUGUGGUAGAGUAGUAAAAAAUAUCUCUCUAUAGAGAUAAGCUAUGUCUAUCUACUGUAUGAAAGAUUUGACUUUAGCUGGCUUGUAUGAGGCCCAAGCUUGAGGCUUUUUGAUUGAUUAAUUAAUAUUAUUGACUCUGGGAGAUGGCUCCACUGGGGAUUAAUUACAGGGUAUUUUUGUGUUCUGUACAAAGCCCAGAAUUGAGGCUGACUCUACUUAGGGAGACUCUAUUUGUGUGCCUUGUACAAAGCCCAAGGUUGUGGCUGACUGUUGAGGAUAAUUGUGGUUUUUUAGACUAUGACUCUAGUUAGGGAAAAUAUUAUUUUCUGCCUUGUACAAAGCCCAAGGUUGUGGCGGACUCUUAAAUGAAUUAAGUAUGUAUGACUAUAUGGGGAAAGAUCCUAAGUGUUAGGAAUCUUUGACACAUGAAAGAUAUGGUUUAUCUGCCUUGUACAAAGCCCAAGGUUGUGGCUACUGAGUGAUGAAGAACUCACUGGGGAGACUCUUGACAGGGGAGUUUUAUUGUUUGGGUGCCUUGUAUGAAGCCCAAGGUUGAGGCUAACUGUUUUUGUUGGUUUUAACUAUACUGGAGAUUAAAAAAGACUGUUUUUCUUUUGGAAGCUAACCCUUUCCAGGGAUUUUGACUCAGCUGGUGAAUUUGUCUGUUAAAAGACUGACUUUAUCAUGUUUUUUGGAGGCUGACCCUUUCCAGGGGUGUUUUGACUCUUUUGGGGAAAUUAUCUCCUAAGAGAAUGAAAUUAUUGUUUUGACAUUUAAAACAGAUGUUGGAGGCUAACCCUUUCCAGGGGUUUUUUAUUGAAAUGAAGGAAUGGAUUGAUUUUAAAUGACUUUGGAGGCUAACCCUUUCCAGGGAUUUUGAGAUUGAAAAAUGGAUGGCAGAAAGAUUAUCUAGUGGAGACUCUUUGUUUAAAGCCCAAGAUGAAGGCUGACUCAAUGCUGAGGAUGACCAAAACAUAGAUCCUAGACUCUACUAAGGAGGAUUGAUGAAGAUAAGGGUGACAGAGACUGUCCAUGUCUCUCAUUCCAAAAAGUGUACUCAAUGCAAAAUUGAGACAAACUUAGCUUGUUUUAAAGUCUGGUUUAAAUUGGAAGAAACUCACCAGGGUAGGUUAAAAGGUGACUAAAGACCUGUUCCUAUGUUUAUAAGAAACCUGAUGGGUCCUUGUAUACAAGCUCAAGAGGAAGCCGGAAAUGCUUUUAAGAAGCCUGUGGGUCCUUGUACAAAGCCCAAGAGGAGGCUAAUCGAGGGUCCUUGUUAUAGCACAAGAGAAAGCUUAUGUGGUUUUGAACUUAUUUUGGCUCUAAGCAAAUGGGUAAGAGGUUUCACCGGGAAUAAUUCCUCUUUGGGUGGAUGUGUCCUAUUUAUUUGGAUUCUAAGGUUUUUGCCAAGAUGUUUCACCGGGAAUAAUUCAUCUUGGGGGUUUGAACUACAGAUCUCUAAUUAGGAAAGAGCCUUCACCGGGAAGACAUUCUCAAUCCUAGGUCAUAUUCCUAUAAUAUAUAUAUAGUUUAACUGUCCUAAGGUUUAUACUCAAACGCAGUUCUAAACUAAUAUAUGCACAGUUUAUAUUUGACAGUAAUUUAAACAAAGACUGUAAAUUGAAAGCUUGUAAAGCCUAACCUGGAUGGAGUGGAGGCCAUUGAAGAAAAGAAGUGAAGAUGGACAAAGGUCACAUAGGUAUCUGAAGAGUUUCACCGGGAAUAAUGCCCUUCAAAUACCAGAAGAAUGUUUUGAAAACAGAAAGAAGAUUUUGAAAAUACAGUUUUGAAAAACAAGCUAAGAAGAGAAGAUUUUUGGGACUUACACUCUAUUAGAGGCCCAGUACUUUACAGUACUGGUGAUAAAAGCAAUUUGAAAAAAUGAUUUGGAAUGAUAUAAGGUUUUGUUGUUUGAAAACCCUAAUCAUUUGAUUUUAUCAGAGAUUGAAAACAGUUUUGAGAUUUGACAAAAGUCAACUUAAUUAAAGCAAAGAUGAAGAUCUAUGCCUAAUUAAGACCUAAGUGAUUAGGGUUUUAUCAUAAAUUUAUUUACAAAAAUGAUUAGGUUAAAACAAAGUGAAAAUAUGUAUUAAAGUAUUUAAGAAAACACCUAACACCAUACUAUUUUAAACCUAAUAAAAACAUGUGAAAUAAAUAAUAUUUUUAUGAUUUUUUUUAUUAUUCACAAAAUAGAGAUAUUAAAUAGCAUGUGUGUAAAAAAUGAAGUGAAAAUAAAUUAAUUUGAUAGGUUAAUUAAUUAUAUGAAGUUGUGAGAAAAUUGAAGUAAAUAAGUGAUAAAAAAUAAUGUUUUGGCCUCACCAUGGUUUGAACCCACGCCCUUGAAGCCAACAACUCAAAAUAACACCACUGCGCCAACGCGCGUUUGGUGUUAGUAAGUUGCCUCCACUUGGUCAUAUUUCAAAACAAGUUGUAAUUCCUUAAAAAAUAAAAGAAUCAAAAAGUCUGGGGCGAGGGGGAUUCGAACCCCAGACUUGUGGCAUGAUGAUACUAAAGGCGCAUGUGUGGCCACUAGGGCAAGUUGUUUAGUCGUUUAUAAAACGCUUUCAGUUAAAUAUAUUUUAAACCCUCCCCUGAGAAAUUAAAAAUGGCGCCACCACCAUCUUCGUCUUCAACCUCAAGCUCCAUGAUUUUUUGAAUUUCUGAACUCACUCGUUUCUCAAUCAUUUGCCAUGAUGUAAACACGAAACUUGCUCUAAAUUCACUCACGAUUCUAAAUAUGUAACUAACAUGAACUAAUAUUAACUACAUCUAAUUAAUUUAACAGAAAUCGUGAAGAACCCUAAAAUUUCAAAAUCAAAUUAAAUGACUAUACUGAAAGAUAAAUGAAUGAUGAUAGAGGGUUUUCAAUCCUCUGAUGAUGCUGAACAAGAUAGAAUCGAGCUAUUUCACAAAGAGUACUUAAAUUAUAGAGGUGAAGUUCAGAAACUUACCUCUGAAACUGAAGGUCGUGAGGAUGAUGGAGAGCACCUGGGCUUGAAUGAAUGAUCUCAAUAGCUUCCCUGAGACUCAAUGAUGCUAACUGGAUGCUUAUUGUAGCUUGAAUCCUCCUGAAUUGCUCUAUGGACCUCCCUCGAUUUCAGCUUCAAGUGAACAUGGAGGUUGUUGAAUUUGGAGUUACAGGUGAGCUGCAGCCAUCUGGUUAGCUCCACUAUGACCUAGGGAGUGUGUCUGAAUGAUUGGUUUGGCCUGAGACUCCCUGAGUUACUCCAUGGACCUCCAACUGCAAAUGCUUCCAAGUGAGAGCAACAAUGGUGUUCCUCCACUUACAGAAGUGAUCCAGGUGCUUGGAUCACCUCAAAUGACCUCCCUUGAGAUGUUGGAAUGCUCACUUUCCAAAGAUGAGCUUUGGUUUGAAGAAAACGAUUCUUCUUGCCAAAGAACUUUGAAAAACAAUGAACAAGAGGAGAGAAAGAGAAAGCAAGUAAUUGAGUUGCUUUGGUGUGUUUUCUGAAUGAGAAUGAGGCCUCUAUUUAUAGGCAAAUGGAUCAGUAUAGCUGCAGAGGAGUGAGCUUCCUUAGUGAGGGAGUUUUGGUUUCUUAGCCAUGAAGAAAUUCAAAGAAUCUCCAAAAUGCAAUGAUGCAUUUUCGAGCCAAUUCUCCCAACCAUUGAUCUUGCAGGAUCUUAGGGAACAUUUCUGAUAUGUAGCAAGUUUCUAUUGGCUUAGGAGAAGAUUCCAAUUGGUGAAUCAUUGCUUAUCAUAAAUUCUCAAAAGUAAUGAUUACAUAAUCACAUGUUCUUGCUUUUGGGAAUCUUCUUCAAUCUUCAUGCCAUGGUGAAAAUGAAUGCAUGGCAUUGUUUCAGACAUGUUAUGGGUCGUGUAGCAUCCAUUCAUGAAGCAAAAUGCACAAAAUUGCAAAGUUCCAAUUUGCACAUGACCUAUAAUUUCACU